rnacentral:rRNA from 1 species
AACGAACGCUGGCGGCAGGCCUAACACAUGCAAGUCGAGCGCUGUAGCAAUACAGAGCGGCGCACGGGUGAGUAACACGUGGGAACGUGCCCUUUGGUUCGGAAUAACCCAGGGAAACUUGGGCUAAUACCGGAUGAGCCCUAACGGGGAAGGAUUUAUCGCCGAAGGAGCGGCCCGCGUCGGAUUAGCUAGUUGGAGGGGUAAAAGCCUACCAAGGCAACGAUCCGUAGCUGGUUUGAGAGAACGACCAGCCACACUGGGACUGAGACACGGCCCAGACUCCUACGGGAGGCAGCAGUGGGGAAUCUUGGACAAUGGGGGAAACCCUGAUCCAGCCAUGCCGCGUGAGUGAUGAAGGCCCUAGGGUUGUAAAACUCUUUCGGCGGGGACGAUAAUGACGGUACCCGCAGAAGAAGCUCCGGCUAACUUCGUGCCAGCAGCCGCGGUAAUACGAAGGGGGCUAGCGUUGUUCGGAAUUACUGGGCGUAAAGCGCGCGCAGGCGGUUCUUCAAGUCAGAGGUGAAAG